CCCGCGGCCGCGAGGGAGCCGGUGCGCUCGCGCCGCCAGCGGGGCGGUGCCUGAGCCCGUAAAUCCUGAGGGGAGCCGGGGGAUGAGCGGCCGCGGAAGGGAAAGCCUCCUCUGCGGGGCACCAAAAGCCCGGAGUGGGCGGCUGUCGAAGCUGCGGCACCGGGAGGGAUCUAGUGCUCCACGUGGAGCAGUUAAUUUCCAAACCGAUAGGAAGUACAUAAUAAUGGUGUACAUGACUUGCUUUUCCCGCUUAAAAUAGAAAGCACCAAUUUAUUCCUACUCUCAAGAAGAUUCAAGAAAUCUUCUGUGACAUAUUAUAAAUUUUAAUGGAGACUGAUUGCUCCGAGUUUGCUUCCAAUCUUUGUCAUGUGGCUCCUGCAAUAUGUAUUUGAGCCAGCUCAUAUGUAUGAGGUGCAAUAUGGCUAUGGAUGCUGAGGAACUGGCUUCACGAAGAGGAGAUAGCAAGUGCUAUCCAAGGCAGCAGGACAGAUCAGUCUACAGAAUGGUGCUCUCACCAGUGUCUGAGGUAGUCAACAGAACUGAAUUACUGGGUAUAUAUUUUUCCUACAAUGAGCUUUCUUCUUGUUUUGUGCAGUGA
rnacentral:lncRNA from 1 species